rnacentral:rRNA from 1 species
UGGUGGGGUGACUUGUCUGCUUAACUGCGAUAACGAACGAGACCUUAACCUGCUAAAUAGCCCGCAUUGCUCCGGCAGUGCGCUGGCUUCUUAGAGGGACUUUCGGCUCAAGCCGAAGGAAGUUUGAGGCAAUAACA